GAAAGUGUUAGCACUAUUAAAAAGUAAAAUAACGCUUAUUACAUAUUUUUUCCUCUUGGUUAAGUAUGUGUUGGACAUUAUAUAUGCAAUUUUAUAAUUAUGAUUACAUUUGUUUAUUUUAUAUGUAUAAUAUAUACUCCUAUAUACCUUUUCCAUGAGUGAAGCGUUCUUUUGGGCAUAAGAUUUAAGAAAAAUAAUGUUUAGUUGUGUUGUUUUGUAUUUUGCUAAAAACGGAAUUACUCAGUUAUAGUCAGAAGACAAAAAAAAAAAGAAUACGACUCACUUAAUGGGAUAGAGAAAGUAUAUAUUUUGACAAUAAAAAAAUAUAGUGUAGCCCCUACUAGAUGAAUUGGGAGUUACAUAGAAAUUCUUCUUUUGUUGAAAGUAAAUGAUAUGCAAUGCAAUAAUUUCAUUCAUUCUCGAAAUUCAAUCUUCUAUAGAGUUGAAGUAUGAAACUGACAAAUGUAUAUUUGAGAUUGGACUAUGCUCUAGCCAUAUUUACCAUUUCCUUUCGCAUAUAAUGCAUUCAAAUAGUUCAGCAAGCUGAUACAAACUAUUUUAGGAGGGAGACUUUUAAUCACCUCGCAAGCUAGCUUGAAGAUGUUAAGCAGCAUGCAAAUCCAAAUAUGACAAUCAUAGUUGUAGGAAAUAAAAGUGAUCUUGCUCAAAGGAGAGCAGUAAGCAAAGAGGAAGGAGAACAGUUUGCAAAAGAAAAUGGACUUCUGUUCUUGGAGGCAUCUGCAAGAACAGCGCAAAAUGUAGAGGAGGCUUUUCACUAACACGGCCACCAGGAUACUUCAGAAGAUCCAGGAAGGUGUUUUUUAGUCUAACGAGUCGUCGGGUAUCAAAAUUGGGUACGGCCCAAGGUCCAACAGGUGGAAGAGAUGGAGCUGUAGCGCAACGAGGUGGAAGAGAUGCUGCAGCUGAUUUUGGAUAUAAUUGUAAUUGUGGAUUCGACUAUUGUGCCUCUGUAAUAGGAAUUGGCGGGCUAGGUCUCGAGUGAGUGGAUCAAGCUAUAUGGAAGAUAACUGAACCGGAUGGAUCAGUUAGCAAAUGUCGUUGCCACUUGAUCAAGGCGAUCUCGCUCUCGCCAGCCAACCAAUGUAAUUUAUAUAACUCCCAAUUUGCACUAC